rnacentral:rRNA from 1 species
GACGAACGCUGGCGGCGUGCUUAACACAUGCAAGUCGAACGGAAAGGCCCUGCUUUUGUGGGGUGCUCGAGUGGCGAACGGGUGAGUAACACGUGAGUAACCUGCCCUUGACUUUGGGAUAACUUCAGGAAACUGGGGCUAAUACCGGAUAGGAGCUCCUGCUGCAUGGUGGGGGUGGGAAAGUUUCGGCGGUUGGGGAUGGACUCGCGGCGUAUCAGCUUGUUGGUGGGGUAGUGGCUUACCAAGGCUUUGACGGGUAGCCGGCCUGAGAGGGUGACCGGCCACAUUGGGACUGAGCUACGGCCCAGCCUCCUACGGGAGGCAGCAGUGGGGAAUAUUGCACAAUGGGCGGAAGCCUGAUGCAGCAACGCCGCGUGCGGGAUGACGGCCUUCGGGUUGUAAACCGCUUUCGCCUGUGACGAAGCGUGAGUGACGGUAAUGGGUAAAGAAGCACCGGCUAACUACGUG